rnacentral:rRNA from 1 species
AUUGAACGCUGGCGGCAGGCCUAACACAUGCAAGUCGAACGGUAACAGGAAGAAGCUUGCUUCUUUGCUGACGAGUGGCGGACGGGUGAGUAAUGUCUGGGAAACUGCCUGAUGGAGGGGGAUAACUACUGGAAACGGUAGCUAAUACCGCAUAACGUCGCAAGACCAAAGAGGGGGACCUUCGGGCCUCUUGCCAUCGGAUGUGCCCAGAUGGGAUUAGCUAGUAGGUGGGGUAACGGCUCACCUAGGCGACGAUCCCUAGCUGGUCUGAGAGGAUGACCAGCCACACUGGAACUGAGACACGGUCCAGACUCCUACGGGAGGCAGCAGUGGGGAAUAUUGCACAAUGGGCGCAAGCCUGAGGCAGCCAUGCCGCGUGUAUGAAGAAGGCCUUCGGGUUGUAAAGUACUUUCAGCGGGGAGGAAGGGAGUAAAGUUAAUACCUUUACUCAUUGACGUUACCCGCAGAAGAAGCACCGGCUAACUCCGU